rnacentral:rRNA from 1 species
ACCUCACGCUUUUAGAGGAACCUACGUCGGAUUAGCUUGUUGGUGAGGUAAUGGCUCACCAAGGCGACGAUCCGUAACUGGUCUGAGAGGAUGAUCAGUCACACUGGAACUGAGACACGGUCCAGACUCCUACGGGAGGCAGCAGUGGGGAAUAUUGGACAAUGGGCGAAAGCCUGAUCCAGCAAUACCGAGUGAGUGAUGAAGGCCCUAGGGUUGUAAAGCUCUUUUAGCAAGGAA